rnacentral:rRNA from 1 species
UGGUGGAGUGAUUUGUCUGGUUAAUUCCGAUAACGAACGAGACCUUAACCUGCUAAAUAGCCAGGCCGGCUUUGGCUGGUCGCUGAGCUUCUUAGAGGGACUGUCAGCGUCUAGCUGACGGAAGUUUGAGGCAAUAACA